rnacentral:pre_miRNA from 14 species
UGCAUGUGUGUGUGUGUGUGUGUGUGUGUGUCCGCCCUGAGACGUUGACACAAAAGCCGCUCGCAAAACGAUCAGAGGCCUCACUGCUCACAGGACACACACACAAACACACACACACACACACGCACA